rnacentral:lncRNA from 1 species
GUGGUGAUGGCAAUGAUGAUUGCAAUGGUAUUAUAUAGGCAUUCGUGCUAGGGGUGGCAAUAAUGAUUAUGGUGAUGAUAGUAGUUAUAGCUAUAGUAGUAGUGGACAGUAUCGGCUAUGGUGGUGAAAAUGAUAAUAUUAGGAUGGUGGCAAUCGUGGUGGUGGAGAAUGGGGAUAGCAGUAGUAGCAAUAACAAUAAUGAUAGAGAUGGUGCCGAUGGUAGUAG